UACGUAGGGUGCGAGCGUUGUCCGGAAUUAUUGGGCGUAAAGAGCUCGUAGGCGGUUUGUCGCGUCGACUGUGAAAACUCGGGGCUUAACCCCGGGCCUGCAUCGGGUACGGGCAGACUAGAGUGCGGUAGGGGAGACUGGAAUUCCUGGUGUAGCGGUGAAAUGCGCAGAUAUCAGGAGGAACACCGGUGGCGAAGGCGGGUCUCUGGGCCGUAACUGACGCUGAGGAGCGAAAGCAUGGGGAGCGAACAGG
rnacentral:rRNA from 1 species